GUCUCUUUACCUUUAACACUUAAUACUAGGAUGUAGGUAGAGCAUGAGACUCUUAAUCUCAGGGUUGUGGGUUUGAGCCCCAUGGUGGGCA